GCUCGUGUGGAUCAAUCCGACCGCGCACUGGACUCACAAUCCAGAGUUUGCUGGUUCGAAUCCCGCGGCGGGCG
rnacentral:tRNA from 1 species